CUUGUUUGCCCACCUCAGGUCUCCGCACCAGAGCAGAGCCGUUGUAGAGCGGGUACCGGUAAAAAUUGAGUUCGGAAGCGAGCGGCUGCGGAAGGCGGGGGCGGACCGGAGCGGAGGUAGUGGAAUAUGGGGGUAAAACCAAAAGCAUGUUUCCCCACCUCUCUUUUCACUCUAGGAGCAACAAAAAAAGAUCUGGUCAUUGUGCCGCAGGCUGCAAAGUGAAAUAUAGGGAAUUAAGUGUAUUUUAAGAUAAUCCGCAUAAGUAAAAAGUUUUAAAAAUGAACUGAAACCAGUGAAACUGUCUCCUGACAGCAGGUGCGAACCAGGACAACUGCCCUAUGUGUAACAACAAAAAAGGAUUUUUUAAAUGUGGACUGUACUCUGUGUUUAUACUUUUCGGUAUGUGCAAAAAAACUAAAAAUGCACUUAGCAAAGCCUUGAUGAAUUAACUGGGAUACGGCAGUAGUAGCUCGCUGAAAUGUAAACACAUCUGUUUAUUGAAAGGACAUAUUGUUUUGGCCAUAUCACCAUGGCUACACUAAAUCCAAUCCUCAGGGUGAAAGAACAGUUUGUGAAUGCUUUAAUUUUAUAAUCCAUUUGCAUAUUUGCGGGAUUGGAUUUGGGCCAAUAAGAUAAAGAAAAACACUUUGGAGAUCAAACAAAUAUUAAGACAUCGAGAGAAAAAAAACUGUUUCAAAAGUAAAACUUACGAUCUGAAUCAGAUUCUUAAAAUGAUCAAGAAAAACACUUACGGUCAAACAAUAAUUAAGAAAUGGACAGAACAAAAAUAUUGACUAAAGGAAAAAAAUCAUUUCAAAAGAAAAACUUACUAUCUGAAUCAACUUCUUCAAAUGAGUAACAAAGUAUGUUUCCUUUUUACUGUUUGCCUUUAUGUGUUUUUGUUAUCAGUUUCCUUUGUUGCGUUCUCGCUGCUCACAGCUUUGCUCUCACUACCAGAUUUGCACUUACACUUUCUGGCUUUCUCCUUUCCAAUCCCUGAGUGUUUGGUUGCAAUUUUGACACAACCCUUUCAUGUGGGUGGGACUUCUGAAAAGUCCUCUCCCAUAGAGCUCUGGACCCCACGUGACUCUCAGUUAGUGGACGCCAUUUUGGCAUGCAAAAAAGGUAAACAAACACGGAUGUAACCAUGAACAUGAACGGGAUCCGCUUGGAUUUUACUUCGUCGGAGUUUACUUCACACUUUAAAACAGAAGAAAUCGUUUUAUAUAGUCAGAAAUUAAAUAGACUAAACAUCUCCGACCCUUACCGUGCCCCUGGGAUACUUUUUAAAAACGCCAGAAGCUGUCGGAGCGGACUUCUUACCGGCACAACACCGGACCUGGCCGGGGGAACCCCUUGGGAUUCCCCCGGCCGGAGGAGCUGGGGAGAAGGUCUGAGACUCUCGACUCUACUGCCCGCUCCGAAGCCAGAAGCCGUCGGGAUUCCCCCAGCCGGAGGAGGCUGGCUCCGGCGGCUGGGGAGAGGGAAGUCACGCUACUGCCCCCGCAACCCGACUCCGGAUACGCGGAUGAAAAUGGAUGGAUGGACGGACAAAUAACAGAUUUACACGUAAGUAGUCUCGGUGAGACAGAUAAUAGCAAUCCAAAGUGCUUUUUAUGUGUGAUCUGACAAUUGAUCAACCAUUGCUUAAAAAUUAAAUACAGCUUAGCCGGUUAAUUGCUGUGAUCAUAAAACACGUAAACGGCAGCAUGCAGAACUCACGAGGCAACGUUUUACGUGAAGUUUACUUGUUGCUAUGAGUAAUAAGACAGAAAAAGCCACGCCAUAAUAAGUUUAGGAAGCCCACUAAGAAUCAUAAUAAAAGCAUUUAAAAUAAAUACCAUACACAGUGUAGGAAACGUUGGUUUAAGUACCUGAUAUGAAGUGGUCGCUGCAUAAGUGAAAACCUUUACUCUCGGGAUCCCACAGCUUCAUUUUAGCCCGGUCACUAGCGCAUUUUAUUACAAUGAUCCAACGUUUGCGGCGCUCCGGAUCUUGGGGAAUCCUGUAGAUGGCUCAUUCCUUAUGUCGUCCGCGUCUGUUCUGCAUCCUGGGGCACAACAGGAAUCUACCAUAUUUCCCGUUUGAUUGAAUUUUCUGACAAUAACAAAUAGUCCAGCUGCCGGCUUCUGCAUGCCAAUAUGGCGCCGUUUCGAUUUGAACUGUUGCAUGCCGGGAGAAGUGACGUCAACUCCUGGAGCUCUAUAGGACAGUGGUUUCUCUAGAGUGACAGUUCAGUGACCUGGAAGUGAUGUAGCCUCCAAUGCUUUUUUUCCCCCCACCUCAGUCAACAGCAUGAAUUUUGAGCCCCAAACACAUUAUUUCUGCUGUCUGUGGUGUCUACUGAGGAUCUAAAGUGAGUAUUGAUAAUAUAUUUUAUCUUUUCUUAGUUAAUCUGUAAGUUAAGCCACUUUUUAAGUUGAUUUUAACCAGAUGUUAGCUCACUAGCUAGCUGCUAAGCAAGCCAUUGUGCUAGCCUCAAGGCUAGCACAAUGGCUUGCUUAGCAGCAACUCAUCUUAACAUAUUCAUUACUGGUUUCAUGGAAUUAAUUAUUGCAGUUUAUGUUAAUACGUUUGCUAAUUUUUCAGGAAUCUGUGGAACGUCAGAGACUUUGCAGCUACUGGAGCUAACCUGUGUACAGCUAACUCGCUACAGAGGAAGCAGCAGAAAGCUGAGCUAACAGGCUGUUUUGCAGGUAAUCCUCGGGUGUCAGCAGGAGGAGGUGACCACUUGCAUAACGGAGCACCCUGGUUCUGAGCCAGUUGCACCUUUGUGCAGCUCUUUGGGGAGAAGAUGCUCAGCAGGUGGUGUUGGUGUGAUCUGGGAGGGCACACUCAUGUCGUCAUCUCCUUGUGCCGUCUCCAGGAUCAUGAUGGGAGUUCUCUGUGCCUAUAAAGCAGGGGGGGGGGGGGGGGGUGUUUACUUCUGGGCCUGGAGGGCCGGUAUCCACCACGUUUUAGUUUUAACUCUGUUUCAACACACCUGAUUUCUGUCAGCAGGUGAUUAACAGGCUUCUGCAGAGCUGCUGCACAGGUAAUUCAACCCCUGAUUCAAGUGUGUUGGAGCAGGGAAACAACUAAAACGUGCUGGAUACCAGCUAUAUGGAUGCUGCUAUAAAGCCUUCCUCCCUCCUCUGGAAUUUAAACAUUAGUAUUCUAUCAUGGUUUCCUGAUUUAGUAAAUAAAUCUCAAUUUAUAAAUUUCCUGUUUUGGUGCCUGUCCAUAAAAUCCUGCAUUAGACACUGAAAGCUGAAUGGAUGCCUUUCAUUCACGUUGACAUUCAAUGUAUUUUCAAAGAUACACUUGAAAUUAAUAUCAGCUGUUUAACAGAGUGGUGCAAUUGCUAAUGUCAUGAUUUUUGCAAUAACCUGACCUUCAUGCAGAGAAACUCACGAGACAAAUAAGCUAAAAACAGUUUAUUAAAAUGUUUGACGGAUGCCUGAAGAGGUAACUGCUGGAGAUCAGGAACCAGAAGCUUCUGUGAGGAAGAGCAGAGGUUAGUAAGAGGCAACAGGCUAACGUCUGGUUAAAACCAACUUGUGGCAGGGGUGAUGAGUGAGCACCACCUCACCCCUGCCACGUGGAUCUCAAGGGAUAAACCAUCAAUCCUGCCCCAUGGUCAACUUUCCUCACGGGGUCGCCCAUGAAGACAGUGGGAGGGUUAAAGAAACACAGACAUUUCAAAAUCCUCAUUUAAACCUAGUGGUUGAAGUGUUUUCAACGUGUAGAUCCAGAACAGUUCCCUUUGGCAGAGUUUUGUUUUUUAUCUAUAUCACCUCCUCUAUGUAAUGAAAUAUGUUCAAUCCCCUGGAAUCUGAGUGAAGACAUAGGGUGUGAAGAGUCAUUGAAAUGGCGUGUUACUGGAUAAGUCAAGUCUUUUCUUCCAAUUGAACUCUUAUGUUCACUGGUCCUCUGUUUGAGUGGCCUUGUUGUUUUACCUAUAUAGACUUUACCACAGGGGCCUUUUAACAAAUACAUUACAUUAUUUGAGUUACAAGUAAUUAUGCCCUUAACAUAGCAGCUGGGAUGAGGAUCAGCACCUCCAAAUCUGAGACCAUGGCUCUCGACCGGAAAAGGGUGGCUUGCCAACUCCGGGUCGGGGCAGAGGUCCUACCUCAAGUGGAGGAGUUUAAGUAUCUCGGGGUCUUGUUCAUGAGUGAGGGUAGGAGGGAUCGGGAGAUCAACUGGCGGAUUGGUUCGGCGUCUGCAGUGACCAAUCCGACCCUGGUGGGGAUGAGUUACAAAGUAGCCACAGCUGCCCUGGGGCGGACUGACAGAGGCAAGGGGCGCAGGUGCCGCCGGUCCCUCUGACCACCACCAGUAAUUAGGCAAGUGGGGUUAAGUGUCUUGCCCAAAGACACAAUGACAGCGACAAACUGAGCAGGGCUCGAACCUGCAAGCUUCCGAUUACGGGGCGAGCACUUUACUCCUGUGCCACCGUCACCACACAAAUCUGUUUUAUUCGCAUGUUUUGCCAGUAUGAUAAGCAAAUCAGAUUUCUAAAGACUGACACAAGUUAGGUUUCACCUAGAAAGAAUGAAUAUUCGCCUUGUUUUCAGGUUUUUAGGUGACACUCCCGGUCGUAUCUAAAAUAGCUGAGAAGUGGGUGGUUAAACUCCUCACUGCUCACCUAGAAAACACCCAACCCUCAUUACAUCCAUUGCAGUUUGGCUUUCGGGCACAUCAUUCCACAGAUACUGCCCUGUGUAUGUUAGUGGAGAACGUGAAGAGCUUGCUGGACAAGAGUUGCUGUGUUGGAGCUGUAUUUUUAGAUCUGAAGAAGGCUUUCGACUCUGUAAACCAUCAGAUAUUGUUGUCCAGAUUGACUCAGUUUAAUAUCUCCAGUCAGGCGCUUCAGUGGUUUGCCUCAUAUCUCUCACACAGGAAACAGUGUGUGGUGUGGGAUGGGGUUAAAUCUCCAAAUUUAGACUGUGAUACAGGAGUUCCUCAAGGAUCUGUUCUUGGGCCUUUAUUGUUCUAGCUUUUUAUUAAUAACUUACCUGAAGUCUGUCCAAAUAUAUUUGCUCAAAUGUAUGCGGAUGAUGAUUUUUCAAAACGCCCCUUAAACUUGAAGCAGUCAAAUAUAUUCCUGGAUGGAGUAGAGCUUGCUCUAGUACCAGAAUUUAAAUACCUUUGGGUCAUUCUAGACCCUACAUUAUCCUUCAAGAGUCAUAUAAUCAAAGUGUCCCAGGUACUUAAUUUUCAUAAUCGAAAUUUUCCUCAUAUACGUAAUAAUCUAAAUAUGAAUGUUGCAAAAACUUAUUUUUACUCAGUGAUCAUCUCUCAUAUGGACUAUUGUUUGACAUCCUGGUCACUUGCUUGUCCAACACUUAAAACUAUUGCAGACAUUUAUAAAAGUUUAAAAUUACUUGACAAAAAACCGACUUCCCACCACCAUUGUCAUGUGUUAAAAAAACAUAAAUUACUGAACUUCAAUAAUUUAAUGAAACUUAAAAGAGUCUGUUUAAUAUAUAAAGUCUUACACUCCCUUGCUCCACCACCACUAAAGCAGUUCAUUAGGCAUAAAGAAAGCUCAAACAGGACUACACGAGCUACAAUUCGAGGAGAAAUGUUUACACCACAUAGACAGACAGCUUUUGGCCAGAACGUCCUCUCUGUCAAGGGUGGCCAUCUGUGGAACAGACUUCCUCAAUCCAUUAGAGAAUGUUCGACUUUCAAUUUGUUUAAGGCAAAGGUUAAAAACUGGUUAUGGACAAAUCAAGUGUGUGAUCAUGUAUGAGUUGUAUAGUUUUAAUGUUUUAUUUGUGAAUAGAAUGGUGUGUAUGUGUAAGUUUGGUGAUGGAGUUUUUAUUACGAAUGAAUGAUGAAUUUUUAUGAAUUAUUAUGUCUUUUUAUGCCUAAGGACAACAGGUGGAAAUUAGCCUUUGGCUAUAAUCUGGCAUGUUUACAUUCAUGUAAGCUGCUUUUACAUUUAUGUUCAUUAACAUGCACUGUCCUACAUAAAUAAACUUAUU